rnacentral:rRNA from 1 species
UGGGGAAUAUUGCACAAUGGGCGCAAGCCUGAUGCAGCCAUGCCGCGUGUGUGAAGAAGGCCUUCGGGUUGUAAAGCACUUUCAGCGGGGAGGAAGGCGAUAAGGUUAAUAACCUCAUCGAUUGACGUUACCCGCAGAAGAAGCACCGGCUAACUCCGUGCCAGCAGCCGCGGUAAUACGGAGGGUGCAAGCGUUAAUCGGAAUUACUGGGCGUAAAGCGCACGCAGGCGGUUUGUUAAGUCAGACGUGAAAUCCCCGGGCUCAACCUGGGAACUGCAUCUGAUACUGGCAAGCUUGAGUCCCGUAGAGGGGGGUAGAAUUCCAGGUGUAGCGGUGAAAUGCGUAGAGAUCUGGAGGAAUACCGGUGGAGAAGGCGGCCCCCUGGACGAAGACUGACGCUCAGGUGCGAAAGCGUGGGGAGCAAACAGG